CUUAUCUGUGAUAAGCCAUUGUCGCAAACGAACCAAAACAGAAAAGAAAGGUAGACGAAGCAAGUAGGAUGUCAUGCACGAUUGUGGAACGCACUUGCCCUUCACGUGGCCACCCAAGGUGUGUCAACCUUUUCUCCCAAGGACAUUGGCGUAUCAGACCGGUAACCAGGAGCAAAAAGGCGGCGCCUAAAAAGCAGGAACAGAGAGAGGAGGAUCUGGAAGUUUCUGCACAAAUGACACCCUUGUAAACCAGCGUUCGGCGGAGACAACGACGACGCAGGUAGAAGAAGCACGCGCGUAGAAGCUGCAGAAGAAGGUUCCGCUGUCCUUCCCGAAGAGGCAUCGAGCGCACCCAAUGGAAGCCGCAAGAAGAUUUACCGUGGUCGACCACAUUCUGUUGGGGCCUCACCGAAAAGACGAGGGGUGCUCAUGUGACAGAGCCGCCUCUACGCUCCUGUGUCGCAUCUGCGGUCGGAGCCUGAAAGGGCGUCUGAGACGCCACUGCGCUCAGCACCCCAACGUGGUGCACCUCAUGGAUAUAUCUGGAUGCCCCUCGUGCCACUCCAGGGAGAUCCUGGAAUGCCCGGUGCCUCCAAGACGGAAGCCUCCAUCACCCUAACUGCUCCUUUCGUGUACAUAGACGACAUAGAUUAUCAUCGAGACGGUGAUCAUUGAUGACAGUGUGAUUAAACGGUACAAAUUAUCACCGCUGAAACGAAAGUGUUCUGGACUAAAGGCGGGCUUUUUUUUUGCCAGUUUUCUUCGGGUUUACCAUUGCGUGGCAGCUUCCAUGUAUAUUUAUAUUGCCAGGUAGGCCGCAUGACGCUCGGGCGGUUUUUCUACAAGGAAUCUUUUUCCAGCUCUCUAUAUGUAUGCUGCGUAGAAUAAAUCUUUUUUA